GUGAAAGGUGUGCUGUCCUUAGAUAGAGAUACUCUCCAAACCAAACUUGGAUGUAACUGUGAAGAAUAAUGUGCCAGGAAGAACUGCCCUGAGAGCAACACUGGGGCCCAUGAAGGACAGCGGACAGAAGACACCUUCUCAGAGGCCAGCACUUCGUCUACCAGAUUGGCUUUCCAAGGAACUCACUGAGCUGCGGGGUGGCUUAUCCUUCCUGUCCGGUAGUACUGGAAAUUUACACCCUUCUUCUUAACAAGUUGAUUGAAAGUCAUACCUGAGCAGGUAAUUUUGGCUUCUUCAUAGUGAUCACAGGUAAGUCCACCCCAUUGCCAGUUCUUGCAGUCCCAAAGAGAAGUUUCAUUUCCGUUACAGCUACUUAGAAACAGCCAUGUGUUUGUUGCCUGGAUUUUGGAGUACACUUGAUAAGAUGUUUUGAGUGCAGAUCCAC